rnacentral:rRNA from 1 species
UGUAAGCGUAUACCAAAGUUGUUGCAGUUAAAACGCUCGUAGUCGGAAUUUGGCAGUUCCGGAUGUGUGCACGUCGUGUGCGCACUUCGCGAGGAUUGCUUUUGUGGUCUUGCGUAGGAUGAGGCACUUUUAUUAGUGAACGUCCUCACGCAACCACUUUUUACUGUGAGAAAAUCAGAGUGCUCAAAGCAGGCAUUUGCCGUGAAUGUAUUAGCAUGGAAUAAUAGAAUAGGACUUGGUUCUAUUUUGUUGGUUUGUUGGGACUGAGUAAUGAUUAAGAGGGACAGUUGGGGGCAUUUGUAUUUCGGUGCUAGAGGUGAAAUUCUUAGAUUACCGAAAGACAAACUGCUGCGAAAGCGUCUGCCAAGGAUGUUUUCAUUGA